rnacentral:rRNA from 1 species
CGUUAUCCGGAAUUACUGGGCGUAAAGCGCACGCAGGCGGCUGUCCAAGUCUGACGUGAAAGCUCCUGGCUUAACUGGGAGAGGUCGUUGGAAACUAGAUGGCUUGAGGCGAGGAGAGGGGUGUAGAAUUCCCGGUGUAGUGGUGGAAUGCGUAGAUAUCGGGAGGAAUACCAGUGGCGAAAGCGGCACCCUGGCCUUGGCCUGACGCUCAGGUGCGAAAGCGUGGGUAGCGAACCGGAUUAGAUACCCCCGUAGUCCACGCCGUAAACGAUGAAUACUAGGUGUGGGACNUGUCARAGUCGUUCUGUGUCCGAAGCCAACGCGAUAAGUAUUCCGCCUGGGGACUACGGCCGCAAGUCUAAAACUCAAAGGAAUUGACGGGGGCCCGCACWAGUAGCGGAGCGUGUGGUUUAAUUCGAUGCRACGUGARAAACCUUACCUGGGUUUGACAUAGCNCGUAGUNAUGAACCGAAAGGGGAACGAUUCUUCGGAAAGCGUCUACAGGUGCUGCAUGGCUGUCGUC